GCCUUCUCACAAAUGACGGCCUCAGCCACUGUGUCCCCUGCACGCUGCUUCUCUUCUAACCAGAUGAGCAGCAACUUCUCCACCUCCUCCAGAACAGCUGGGCGGUUCUUCACGAUCCUGGUGACUCCCUUGGCUGCAUCAGUCGCAAGGAUCUUCUCCCUCAUCUUCAGGAUGGUCCCGAUGGUCGAUGGAUUCCUCCCGUACUCCCUGGCGAGGUCUGUCACACGCAUUCCACCGUCGUGCUUCAUUUCCAGCGUAACUUUCUCCUUCUUCCCCUCGCCGGCCUCUGCAGCAGCAGUCUUCUUGGGUCCCAUGGCAGCACAGCUCCUACCUGCGCAACCCCCCCCCCCAAAAAACCCAGAACCAAGUCCUUGAAUUCCAAACACCCCAACCCAAAAUCCAAAACCCUCCAAAAAAGUUUUAAAAGUUUAACUUACCGAAUGGCUGCAAAAGAAGUUUUGGAAAAGCUUCAAAAAGCACCAAAGUCUUCAAAAACCUCAACUAUUCCCCCAGCCACCCACCACACAGAAAUUGCAAACCCCUCCCCAACUGUUCCCCCAGUCACCCACCACACAGAAAUUCAAACCCAGAUUUUUUUUAAAAAAACAACAGCAGAGUGGCCCAAUGGUCACAGAAAAUCAUAAAAAUGCAGAAAAAAACACACAAGCUUCCAGAUUCUUGCAAACCCCUCCCCAACACCAAGUCCUUGAAUUCCAAACACCCCAACCCAAAACCCCCCCAAAAAGUUUUAAAAGUUUAACUUACCAAAUGGCUGCAAAAGAAGUUUUGGAAAAGCUUCAAAAAUCAGCAAAGUCUUCAAAAACCUCAAAAAAGGCUACCACACCGCGUGCUAUGAGUUGCUCCUCGAAGUCAAGUCGCAACUGCACCUCUUCAAGCAAUGCACCCUGGGUAUUAACGGUUUUACGAAAAAGGAAACAAACUUGCAAGACAUUUUCGUCUUGUGAAGCAAGCCCAUAGGGAAAUUCAUCUUGCGAAGCACCUCAAAAAACGAAAAACCCUUUCGUCUAGUGGGUUUUUCGUCUUGCGAGGCAUUCGUCUUGCGGGGCACCACUGUAUCUGAGUUGGUUGAUAAUUUCUUCCGGCAAUCUUAAUUCCGGCUAGGGAUUCAUCCAGCCCAGCCUUUCGCAUGAUGAAUUCUGCAUAUAAGUUAAAUAAGCAGGGAGACAAUAUACAGCCUUGCCGUACUGACCAAUCAGUUGUUCCAUAUCCGGUUCUAAGAACUUGCCAUAGUUUGCUGUGGUCGACACAGUCAAAGGCUUUUGCAUAGUCAAUGAAGCAGAAGUAGAUGUCUUUCUGGAACUCUCUAGCUUUCUCCAUAAUCCAGCGCAUGUUUGCAAUUUGGUCUCUGGUUCCUCUGCCUCUUCUAAAUCCAGCUUGCACUUCUGGGAGUUCUCGGUCCACAUACUGCUUAAGCCUGCCUUGUAGAAUUUUAAGCAUAACCUUGCUAGCGUGUGAAAUGAGUGCAAUUGUGCGGUAGUUGGAGCAUUCUUUGGCACUGCCCUUCUUGGGGAUUGGGAUGUAGACUGAUCUUCAAUUCUCUGGCCAUUGCUGAGUUUUCCAAACUUGCUGGCAGAUUGAGUGUAGCACCUUAACAGCAUCAUCUUUUAAAAUUUUAAACAGUUCAGCUGGAAUACCAUUACUUCCACCGGCCUUGUUACUAGCAGUGCUUUCUAAGGCCCAUUUGACUUCACUCUCCAGGAUGUCUGGCUCAAGGUCGGCAACUGCUACCUGGGGUGUAUGAGACAUCCAUAUCUUUCUGGUAAAAUUCCUCUGUAUUCUUGCCACCCCUUCUUGAUGUCUUCUGCUUCUGUUAGGUCCUUACCACUUUUGUACUUUAUUAUGGUAAUCUUUGUAUGAAAUGUUCCUUUCAUAUCUCCAAUUUUCUUGAACAGAUCCUUGAGUCGUAUAGUUGACCUUAAAUAAUUUUUGUUAAUUUCAAUUUCGAAAAUGAUCUUUCACCUUCAGCUACUGUUACCUGUAGUGAUAUGGACAAGUUAGAAAAUAUUGGAUGUCAAAUUAUUUGACUAUAUAUAAUUGAAAACAUCCACUGGAUUUGUGUCUUGAAAAAAAUUGGUAAUAGUUCUAGUUCGUGAAAUAAAUCUCCGUCUAUAUCAGCCCCCCUUUUGGCAGUCAAAUUUCUGUUGCAAAUUGAAACACUGCUCUUUUCUGGCAUGUCUCUAAUUUUCUCCAUUUAUCUAUAUUUUGUAAAAAUGAAAAAUGGUCAUUGUGUUCACUUAGUAGUUCAAAUCUUUAAUUUUGUGAUUGCUGUGUCCAACAAAUAAAAAUUUAAAGUUUUUCUGUGGAUCUGUAAUUGGCUCAUGGGUAGACUCAACUGAAAAAUCGUUUCCUGGCAUAAGAUCAUGCGGUGUAUGUAAAUUCAGUUUCACAUUCUAUUUACUCAGCAAUUGAUAUAGCUUCUAACAACAUCGUCAAACGUGGAGUCUACACGAUUAAAAAAAUAAUAAUUGUCCAGUGGCACUGAGACCAACUUGUUCUGGGAGUAAGCUUUUGUGUGCAUGCACACUUAUUCAGACACUGAAACAGAAGUCAUCAGACCCUUCCCACUUAUAUAUAGUGGGAAGGUGGGGUGGGGUAUUUCUCAGAAGGGUAGUAGGAGAUGGGUGAUUGAUUCAAUGGGUAUAGUAAACCUGUUGACUGCAAUUAGUCCCACAGGAAGAAGCAGGGGAUAGUGUGCAGAUGACCAAAAACAGCUUUAGCAUGUGUAAUGAGACAAGAAUCCAAUAUUUCUAUUCAGACCAGGUCCCUCCAUAUCAGUUUAGUAAUAAGUUGUAAUUCAGCAACUUCUCUUUCUGUAAUUCUUGUGUAUUAAGACUGCUGCUUUGAGAUCCUGUAUUGAAUGUCCUGGGAGAUUGAAGUGUUCUCCUGGCUGUUCUUGUCUUGUGAUUCCUGAUGUCAGAUUUAUGUCCAUUUAUCCUUUGGCGUAGCUGAAGGGCACUGCUGGCAUUUGAUGGCAUACACAAUGUUAGAAGAGGAGCAAUUAAACAGGCCUGAGAUGGUGUGUUGGAUGUUGGGUCCAGUGAUGGUGUUGUCUGGGUGGAUGUGGCAGCAAAGUUGGCAUCUGGGUUUAUUGCAGGCUCUGGUACCAGUGUCCAUGCGUCUGGUUGCUGUAUUAUUGUGGGUGAGGAGUUGUUUAAGAUUGGGUGGCUGUAGGCAAUGAAAGGUCUUCCUGUAUUGUAAGCCAAGUCAUUUUUGACCUGCUCUAUCAUUUUAACUGCUUCCGGAAGAACGACAGACUUGUAAGGUUUUACUAACAAUAAUUUUCAGUAAUACGUUAUACCACGUCAUUAAAGAACAAAUGAAUUUGAAAGACUUCAAUUUCAACAUCAAUGAACUUGCCAUGUUCCUUGUGUCACUACCAUUUUUGUUACCUGAGAAUAUAAGGUGUUGUAAACCUUUUCCAUAUUAAAACGGAAGUGCUUUCAACGCCUCUACUUCCCCAUUGCGUGUUUGAUAAUGGUCUUAAGGUGAAAGGGGGCACUUGGUUCAUGAGGAUUUGCCAACGUGACGUUGACCCGGAAAAGAAUACAUAUAUUUCCUGAAGUAAUUUCCAGUGAGCUUUUAGCGGCAUCAUUCACUACUAAGUUGAGGCUGUGAGCCACACAAGGAAUGUAGAAAGCAGAUGGAUUUAUGGCCAAGAUUUUAUUUUUUUUGAGGCCUAUAUUUUUGCCUCAUAUUUGCGCCGUUGUCAUACCCUUGACCUUGCAUGUCGUCUAAUUCGAUAUAUGAAGAUUUUAAAAAAUCCAGCAAAACGUCACUUGUCCUUGUACAGUAGUGUCAGUAACUGGAAAAAAGCCUUAAAAAUGCUCUUUGAUGAUGGGUUAAUGUGUACAAACCUAACAGUAGGUUUUUCCUUGUGUGAGACAUCAGGAGUGCAAUCUAAAAUGACAGAAUAGUAUUCGGAUUGCUUCAAAAGAUAAAUAAUAGUCAUGAGCUAUUAAAAACAACUUCUCUGGAACUAUUUGAGGCCACAGAGAAGGACCAUCCACUACAUCUUCAUGAAACGUCUCUUCCGGGGGAGUAUCAGACGUUGAGGCAGAGUCAGUUGCAAGUGCAGGUGUGGUAGGAGUAGAUCUUUCUGCAAUAGGGCUUGGCGAUGGCCUUUGCUUUCUUGCGUGCUUCGUCCCUAAGAUAUUCUGCAAAUCUCGGAGAGUUGUUGAUUGUGGAUUCAUCCAGAUCUUCCACCUGCAAUUCGUACCCACGUUGUUGUAUCUUAAUGCGUGUGUCAGCAAGGAACAUGCUGCUGGUCGCCAAAUCUCUUUCCUAAACAGUCUCCCGGCCAUUUAUUGGCCUUUUACAUUAUCUUCUAUGGAAUCUCUACGGCGCUCCCAGUGCCUGCUCUGUGCCCAAGGCCUUUGCUCACUUUGCCCGGUGCCGCGGGGGCACUAGAGAGUUUGAAAGAAGUGCUCCUUCCUUGUUCCAGUAGUCCAGUUCAGCCUUGGGCAUGUUUGUCCUGGUUGCUCCUCUUGAGUAGGGCUGUGAACCCCUUCACCUUUUUGGUAUGCGACUUGUUAAGGCGUAUCUGUCUCUUGACUUGGUUUCUCUGCUUCAUAGAGCCUUGACUUCUGCAUAAUUUUGCCAAAUGAGGCCUUGGUGCUGGCUUCUGCUUUCUUGCGUCCUUGGCUCCUCAGAUCCUGUGCAAAACCAGUAGCAUUUUUAUUCUGGAGUUUUUCCACCUGCAAUUCCAACCCAUGUUGUUGAGCCUUAAUCCCCGUGCCAGCAAAACUUGGAUGCUUCUGUCCACCAGAUCCUUUUCCUCCCGGUCGUUUUGAUUGGACAAUCGGCACGUUACUUCAACAUGCAUUGCAUUGUCUCGAUGGUUGGGGCUUCUGAAAGCAUGUCCUUUUAGAUCCUCAGUUGCGUAGCAGAUUCCCUCCUGCUCUCUGCUUCCAAGUGUGGGCUUCUGCAGUCUAAUGGGCCUCUCAUCAGUUCAGGUGGUGCCGGUUCCUUCAGGCCCAUCGGUCCUUCCUUGGAGGAAAGAGUCUCCUGCCCCCUAGCCCUGCUCCCUGAGCAUUGCGCCUGUAUGCAGCCCACGAAUCCACACGUCUGAUGGGGGUCGCUUCUCUGUUCCCACCCAUAACACACAGUAGCUGGAGCGGGAGAUGUCCUUCCCUAUAAAUUCGUGUGGUUUUUAAAUAUUGCCUCCAAAGAACACAACUUCCAAAAGUCAAAGGGGAAAAGAGAAAGAAAACCAAGCUGUUCACCAUUCUAGAAACCUUUAGGUCUAGGGCCAAUGGGGCUCUUCCUGCCAGCCAUUUUGUUUUGCUUCCUGUUGCUGUGCCAAGGCUGGGCUAUUUUCUGAGCAAGGCAGGAACAGAAGUAGGCCAAACACAAGAAUGGGGCUCCUGUCAGGGUGGGAUAACUGCCUGCGAGGACCCUUGGUGCCUCUCCAAGAGAUGGAAGCCUUCCUGCUCACUGACUUUCUCUGAUCUUGGUGUCACUGUACAAUGUGGCUAUCUGGGGGUUGGAUUUGGAGUUAUUGCUUGAGGCUUUGUGUCACUGAGUUCUUCACUUAACGUGUGGGGAUGUUUGGGAUAAUAGGUAAGGAAAUAUUGUUGAAGUACCCUUCCUUCCUUCCUUCACUCAUGCUAGUGAGUGACGUAGCAGAGCAAAUCCCCUCUAUUUUCACGGAAGCGAGUUGUUGAUAGAUUGGUUUGAAUCUCUGCAAAAUGACUAAUCCAAUCUGGUUUGCCCAGGUGGGUUGCUCUUGGUGUCCCCUUUUCUCCCUCCUAAAAUACAAUAAAGACUUAAGAGUCUGUCUUUAAAAGUAUAACAGUAAGUUUACUCACAAGCUGUUCACAGUACACAUCUAGAAAGUCAGGCUUUUUAAGCUUCAGGUUACAAACAUAUAACGUGGCUUGACAUCCUUUGUGAGGAUGGGCCCAAGUUCUGCUGGUUGAGAGCCCUCAGACAACAAAAUGAAUGAGACGUAACAGUUGAAUCGAAUAGAGACAAAAUGGCUGUGUGACUCUGCUUUUAUAGAGGAACAGGAAGUUACACAUCCCUCUGUCCACUCUAGGAAGUAAAGUGUGUUGUAAUUGACUGUACUGAUGUAACACAUCCCACAAUAUGCUGUUUGUGGGGUGUGUGUCUUUCUGCACCCUAGACAAUGUGCUCGGGGGAACGGGCUGGAUUUCUGGAAGAAACAGUUCCAGUCUGUUCCCCCAACUCCUUCCAACGUUGAUCUGUUCGAUGCUUGUUCCCGGGGCUGAGCAAUUUGUGCUUCUGAAGGGUGAAACACAUUUCUCAGAGCAGCCAGUGCGAGUGGGGAGAAGCCAGCAAGUAGCUGUGCUCUCUUCCAAGCUCAGGGUUUUGGGGAGGGGGAUCCCUCCUAGUCAACCACACAAGAGAUUCCAUACAGGGGAGAAACCAUAUCGAUGCUUGGGAAGAUGUCGCCAAGGAGCUAGUAGUAGUUGUGUUUCACAGGGCCAGAUUUAGAUGAAGAGAAGGCCCUAGGCUACUCCAGUUGUGAGGUCUCUGGAAAAUUUCUCCUCUCCUGAGCAGUUGGUGACCAUAAGGCUAAGAAAUAGCUGCAAGAUUGCUUCCACAUUAGGAAAGGCUAUCUGAAUUUUCCCUUGUAUAUAAUUUGAUAAAGGUCUGUAUGAGAUAGUGCUCUGCCGUAAGCCUAUGGCUUUGUGUCACAUACAGUUGAAAGUGCAAAAGUUCAUCCAGAAGUCUCAGGUCAAUAUGUUCUGUGGGUAUGCUUCCAACAACGGUUCAACAACUUGCUGAACUUCUUGCCUCGAUGCUGUCAAAUUAGCAAGAAUGGCAAAUAAUUGUGCAACAUCACUUUACGCAGUACUGUUUCUUUUUAAAUUGGCUUCAAAUUGGCAUCUAAUGUAGGAAUAAAGGAUUUUAUCCUAAACCUAUCUCUUGAAGAAAGUGCAUCUAAGGCAUCAGGUGGACUUCUGUCAUUUCUUUGCCGUUCCCUCACUCUUCGUCUCCUUGUUUUGUUGUUGACAUUUGGCAAAGUGGCUUUUGCUUGUUUCUCAAGCUCAUCAAAAUCAUUCCUUAUUUUCCUUAAAGAGAUCCAGGAGUGAACUGUAGAAACUCGCACAAGAACUCAGUAACAGGUCUGGUUUUUGAAGGCCUUUGCUGACCUUGUGAAAAUGACCUAGAACCCGGGUCCAAGAACGCAGCAUAAACACAAAUUCCAGUUCUUCCAUUUUCUGCAGGAGACUGUUAACUCUGUGCUUGGUCUCCCUCUUCCCAUUAACAUCAGAACAAAUUACGGAGGGCAUCAAUGAUAGCACUGUAACUUUCCAAAACGGCUGCUGUGGCUUUGCGUGUGCGUCCCGUCCUAGAGUCUGACAAAUGUUUAGGCACUUUAGACUGAGGUGGCAAAAACGAUUUUAGAACUGCCCGUCUCUUUGUGGAGGAUGAAAAGAAGGUACAAAUUUCAUUGAUAAUGCCAAAACAGUUCCCUGCAUCAAGGCAGCAAUCCACAGCUGAACUGCCCACCAGAUUUUAAAGAGUGACCUGCGCAUGGAAUAAAUUUUGCAAAUUGGUUUUUUUAAUGAUUUAUUACUGCAUAUCGUUGUACUUGCCAGCCAUGUUGGCAGCGUUGUCAUAAGACUGCCCGCAGCAUUUUCUAAAGUCAAUUUCAAGCUCAGUAGUAAAAUAGGAAAAAGCACGGCUGAAUUAGUGUUCAACUGUAAAUCUGUGUUGGCAAACGAUCUUCAGGUGAUACAUACCUGAUAAUUUAAAGUCAGCGGAUCAGUAUGUGAAAUGUCAGGAGUGGAAUCUACUGAGAAGCUUGAAAUAUUCAGUCUUUCUCACAUCAGCCAGAGUUUCAUCCUUAACUUUUUUUGCCAUGAGCUGAACAAUUUCCUCACAUAGUUUUUGACAAAUAAGAGGGAUUGCUUGAUCCAGAAUGUCCAUACCGAUAAGAGCAAGUAAAAAUGGAUCAAAUUUUGCCACUAGUUUUAAAAGACCAAGAUAAUUGCCAUUAUUCGGAGAUCCAAAGUGCUCAUUGUCUCUUCUGAAUUGUAAGCCUCGUUCUACUGGAGUGCAUAUUAACGGCAAUAAUUACCUCUAUGACAUGCCUCCAGUACUGCUGUUAGGCUUUUAUUUGUUCCUCUAAUAGAAAAAAAAAAUCACAGAACUGAGAAAUUGCACAAAACAAAAAGAUACUGUGAAAAUCCCUGAAACAAGAAGUAAUCGACUAGAAAUAUUAGCUGUGGAAAUAAACUAAAUAAUAAAAAUCAAAAAGCUUAAGGGGAAAAAAAUAGAAAAACCUAAAACUGAACAAAGCCUUAACAGGAUGCCGGCUACAAACCUCGUUUCACUGAACUAUUCAGUUUUCCUCAGAAGGAAAUCGAAAAAUCAUAAACUUUAAAUGACCAAAAUUCAAAAAAAAGGGAUAGAACCCCCUAAAAUUCUGAAGUAUUAUAAUCCUAGCUCAACCAAGGUAAAGCAAAGUGCAGUAAUAAAGGAUAGAGGACUCAAGUACAGUUUCUAAUACUGAAUUUACAAAAAAGAUUUGAAAAACCUAAAUGGCAAGUUUUAAACAAAGCCCAGCUUGAAGAAAGCAAAACACAGUAAUAAAGGGUUGAGGACUCAACUGUGAAAGUUCUAGUGCUGCUUUUACAAAAAGGUUUACAAACCUAAACGGCACAAAUUCAAAGAAAGGAAUACCAGAUAAGCUGUUUUAGAUUUUAAACAAACACUCCCAUGGUCUAGAUGUUCUGGCACCUCUCCUAUGAGGGUGACCUGUUGCAACAGAACAAUAAAAGAUCAGCCUUUCUUUCACUGGAGUCCACAGCUGAUUCUCUGAGCAAUAACAAACUUUGGGACUCUUGAGUCCCUUAAAAGGGGAAGCAAGCAAGCCAUUAAAGCCGUUAGCCUGCGUUCUUCCAAAUUCAGGAUUUUGGGGAAGGGGAUCCCUCCUAGUCAACCACAUGAGAGAUUCCAUACAGGGGAGAAACCAUAUGAAUGCUUGGGAAGAUGUCACCAAGGAACUGCACUUCACACACUGGCGGAAGAAGAGGCGUGUGGGGGGAGCGCAUUGCCCCCAGCAGCGCGAUCCCAUUGGGGUGCCAUCGUGGCUGCGCCCCCGGGACGUGCGCCAGCCCUGCCCCCGCCUGCUCUCCGCCCCCCGGUGCUGGAGCAUGAAGCUCUGCCGCUGACUUCACUCACACCCUGUGCUCCAAUUAUAAAUGUCAAAACAAAAAAACGUUCCUAAAUACAGAGUGGGCACACAUACAUAGGUACGAAAAACAUAGUCAGAAAAACGUUGCAGGAAAGCGAUCCUAAAGCCAUUUGGAUGCUUUUAAAUGACCCCCAAAUUUUCCUCUGCAGUCAAAGAAGGUAAAAGGGGAAGAAUUGUCAGUACGUCUUUCAACCGAUGUUAGCGACUGGGCUCAAUAACUGGUUCUGCCUGGAAUGGGCUAGGCGACUGGAGCACUUUGGGAGACCUUCCAAUCCUGGAAAGCAGGUCCCAGUGCAUUGGACCCACAACUGUGCAUUGUGAGCACCAGACUCAGCAGAGUAUAAAUAACGCACAAGCUAGCUGUGAAGGAUAAUUCCUUUUAUUUCUAAUAGCUACUACAAACUAAUGAACUCCUGGCUUGCAUGAGCGUUACAGCUCCCACUCAGCCAUCUAGUCACUACAUAGAUAAGACUCUCCACAUACAGAGGCAGGCAGUCAGUCAGGAAGGAGCGGAAGAGUAGCAGAGCAGUUUCCGCCCGCUCCUUUCUCAAAACAUCAGAUCAGGAGAUUCUUGCAAUGGGAAGGGGUGAAAAUAUCAACAAGAAUACUGUCAAAAAAUAGUUCUUUUCACCUGUGUUAAAUCCUGUUAAUAGAUACAGUGGUGCCUCGCAAGACGAAAUUAAUUCAUUCCGCGAGUUUUUUCGUCUAGCGAAUUUUUCGUCUUGCGAAGCACGGUUUCCCAUAGGAAUGCAUUGAAAUUCAAUUAAUGCGUUCCUAUGGUCAAAAAGUCCAAACAAAGCCAAAUUUGGUACAACAAGAGUUUAUUAACUGCUCUUUAAAGUCACACAUACUUUAAAGAGCAUAUCAAAAUUGAAGGAACAAUAAAUUAAGUUGCUAAACAUGACAGGAAAAACAUUUAAAAAUCCAAAAAGGGUACAUUACAUUUUCUAAGACUCUGGGGGACCACUCGAAGAAGGUUCCUCUUCCACUCUUUGCUUCUUGCUGAGGAACCUGUCCAUGGUCUGCUGCUUCAUCCGCCUUUUCAGCACCUCCCUGAGAGGCAACAUGACCGUUGUAUCAAAAGUGUUCGCUUCUCCCUCAUCUUCAGGAUGGUCCCGAUGGUCGAUGGGUUCCUGCCGUACUCCCUGGCGAGGUCCGUCACACGCAUUCCACCGUCGUGCUUCCGGAUGAUCUCCUUCAUCUCCAGCGUCACCUCCUUCCUCUCGCCGGCCUCCGCAGCAGCAGCAGUCUUCUUGGGUCCCAUGGCAGCACAGCUGUUGCCUUUGUAAACUCAGAAAAAAUCAGCAAUUCAAACCCAGAACCAAGUCCUUGAAUUCCAAACACCCCAAAAUCCAAAAACCCCCAAAAAAGUUUUAAAAGUUUAACUUACGAAAUGGCUGCAAAUCACCAAAGUCUUCAAAAUCCUCAAAUGGCUGCAAAAGAAGUUUUGGGAAAGCUUUAAAAAUCACUAAAGUAUUCAAAAACCUCAACUGUUCCCCCAGCCCCUCCCCAACUGUUGCAAACCCCUCCUCAACUGUUCCCCCAGCCACCCAGCACACAGAAAUUCAAAACCCAGAAAAUUUUUCAAAAAAAACCAACAUGGCCCAAUGGUCAC